UACGUAGGGUGCGAGCGUUAAUCGGAAUUACUGGGCGUAAAGCGUGCGCAGGCGGUUUUGUAAGACAGGCGUGAAAUCCCCGGGCUUAACCUGGGAACUGCGCUUGUGACUGCAAGGCUAGAGUACGGCAGAGGGGGGUGGAAUUCCACGUGUAGCAGUGAAAUGCGUAGAGAUGUGGAGGAACACCAAUGGCGAAGGCAGCCCCCUGGGCCGAUACUGACGCUCAUGCACGAAAGCGUGGGUAGCAAACAGGAUUAGAUACCCUGGUAGUCCACGCCCUAAACGAUGUCAACUAGGUGUUGGGUGGGUAAAACCAUUUAGUACCGUAGCUAACGCGUGAAGUUGACCGCCUGGGGAGUACGGCCGCAAGGUUAAAACUCAAAGGAAUUGACGGGGACCCGCACAAGCGGUGGAUGAUGUGGAUUAAUUCGAUGCAACGCGAAAAACCUUACCUACCCUUGACAUGCCAGGAACUUGCCAGAGAUGGCUUGGUGUCCGAAAGGGAACCUGGACACAGGUGCUGCAUGGCUGUCGUCAGCUCGUGUCGUGAGAUGUUGGGUUAAGUCCCGCAACGAGCGCAACCCUUGUCGUUAAUUGCCAUCAUUUGGUUGGGCACUUUAACGAGACUGCCGGUGACAAGCCGGAGGAAGGUGGGGAUGACGUCAAGUCCUCAUGGCCCUUAUGGGUAGGGCUUCACACGUCAUACAAUGGUAGGUACAAAGGGCAGCGACUCCGUAAGGAGAAGCGAAUCCCAAAAGCCUAUCUCAGUCCGGAUUGGGGUCUGCAACUCGACCCCAUGAAGUUGGAAUCGCUAGUAAUCGCGGAUCAGCAUGCCGCGGUGAAUAUGUUCCCGGGCCU
rnacentral:rRNA from 1 species